UACGUAGGGUGCAAGCGUUGUCCGGAAUUAUUGGGCGUAAAGAGCUCGUAGGCGGUUCGUCGCGUCGGCUGUGAAAUCCCGAGGCUCAACCUCGGGUCUGCAGUCGAUACGGGCGGACUGGAGUACUGCAGGGGAGACUGGAAUUCCUGGUGUAGCGGUGAAAUGCGCAGAUAUCAGGAGGAACACCGGUGGCGAAGGCGGGUCUCUGGGCAGUUACUGACGCUGAGGCGCGAAAGCGUGGGGAGCGAACAGG
rnacentral:rRNA from 1 species